AAGUUUUCAAGAUCAAGGUCAUAAUGUGUAUUUACCUCGAAGGUGAGCCGUAAAAUAUAUAUAUACAAAGUUAUCAGGAAGCUUAAAGUCCUUGUAAUGACCUUGAAGUUUGUUUUGUCCUUAACUUGAAUCAUUGCCUAAUAUACACUAUAACAAGUAUCAUAUCUCCGUAUGUUAAUAUGUCACUGAUAGUUUACAAUAUUUGUCCCAUGUUGAGUCCUCAUAAAGAAGUCUGUAGUAAAUCACAGUGUAGUAUAAUAUAAUCGAGACGUACUCUUGUUUUAUCUAUUCAAAAGUUUUUCAUAAGUUAAAAAACAAAACAAUUACACGCUAUAAAUAAGUUUACAUUGAAAAAUUAGUUUCUAUUUUUUGGAUUUAAAAAAAAAAAUAACAAAGUAUAAACAAGUUAACAUUGAAAAGCUAAGCUUUUAUUUUCUGGAUAUACAUUACAAUGAGAUGAAGACGAUAUUCAACUGCAUGGCAAACAGAAAGCAUGUCUAAGAAAAACCAAAAUCACCAUAAUAAAAAAACAACAACAAAAAAAUACGAAGACAAAUCUGUCUGUCUGGAAUUUCCUAAAUUCGGGAUCAAGCUUCACAUUUGCAUGUUAUAACUUGUGACGAGUGAAAUCUAUCACUCGUAAUGGAGCAAUAGCUCACAGUUUAACUUGGUUUUGUUAGGGGUCGUAAAUAAACAUUAUAACAAUUGUUUUGUCUACAUAAAAAGAUUACGUCAUAUUUUACUAAACUUUUUUAGCAUUAACAGGUUGUUGCAGAUAUUUUAAUUGCAUAUAAAUUAAAGGGAAUAUGAAUUUUACUUUAGUUUAGAUAUUAGUUGAUAAAUUUACUAUAUUUUGUUCUUGCAUUAUAGGAAGUAUGUACGACCUAAGCAUAAACUAGUUAUAUCAUAUAGGCAUAACUGGUCUUUGAAAGAAUAUAGAUGUAGCAAUAUAUCUAGCAUUUAAUCCAAAUAAACUCGCAGCCACUUGCAGCAAAAUGUAGGUUUGAGUUAACAAAUAAAUUCAAAUAGAACUAUAGAAGUGCAUUUGAAUCGGUUUACCGUUAUCAAGGAUGGAGCA
rnacentral:lncRNA from 1 species